GGCAGCAAGAAAAAUGAGGGACUUUCAGGGGCAGCUGUGUUUUACUAACCCAGUCAUAAUGCCCCUAAAAAUCCUUAUUGUUCUUGCAAUGGUC
rnacentral:pre_miRNA from 1 species